rnacentral:rRNA from 1 species
UGGCUCUUGGCUUUCACGGGUACAGGGAUAGGGUUCGAUUCUGGAGAAAGAGCCUGAGAACGGCUACUACAUCUACGGAGGGCAGCAGGCGCGUAAUUACCCAAUCCCUACUUACCCAGGUGGUGACAAGAUAUAACAACGCAAUCUCAUUGUGAUUGUAGUGAGGGUAUUCCAAACCGAACCACUAGUACGAUUAGAGGGCAAGUCUGGUGCCAGCAGCCGCGGUAAUUCCAGCUCUAAUAGCGUAUAUUAAAGUUGCUGCAGUUAAAAAGCUCGUAGUUGGAUUUCAAGGAUUGUGUACUCUCUCAGAGUAUGCACCCUACUAUUCUUUGACUUGUUACUGUGAGAAAUUAGAGUGUUUAAAGCAGGCUAUUGCAGAUACAUUAGCAUGGAAUAACGAAUGUAUCUAGAAUCUAGGUAAUUCUAGGUUUCGAUUAAUAGAGACAGUGGGGGCACUUAGUAUUUAAUUGCAAGAGGGAAUUCCUGGAUUCUGUUAAAGACUACGUCUGUCUAAAUUCAUCCGCCAGGAUGUCUUCAUCUAUCAGGACGAAGAUAGGGGCAUCCAACGACCAUCAGAUACUGUCGUAGUCCUAUCUAUAAACCUAUGCCCGACCACGGGAUCGAGUGGCUCACACAUUUCAGUACCUUAUGAGAAAUCAAGUUCUGGGUUCUGGGGGGAGUAUGUCCGCAGACUGAACCUAAGAAUUGACGAUGUACCCCAGGAUGGAGCCUGCGGCUAUUGAUCACACGGAAACUACAGUCGACUGUAGAUCGCGAUGAAGCCUUCCUGAUCUUGGUGCGGCAUGGCGUUCUAUUGGGAGAUGCUGUAAUCGAAACGAAGACCUACCGUACUAU